rnacentral:rRNA from 1 species
CCACACUGCGGUAAUUCCAGCUCCAAUAGCGUAUAUUAAAGUUGUUGCAGUUAAAACGCUCGUAGUCUGAUGUAAUGGGGACUGGUGUGGGGAGCAGCAAUGCUCUUUGCUUCGGUCCUCAUCAACGGGACAGCAAUGUCCCAUUUUACUUUGAGGAAAUUAGAGUGUUCAAAGCAGGCGAUUGCUUGAAUACUGCAGCAUGGAAUAAUGGAAUAGGACUCGCGUCUUAUUUUGUUGGUUUGGAGAUGUGAGUAAUGAUGAAUAGGGACAGUUGGGGGCAUUGGUAUUCAGUAGUCAGAGGUGAAAUUCUUGGAUUUACUGAAGACUAACUAGUGCGAAAGCAUUUGCCAAGGAUGUUUUCAUUGAUCAAGAACGAAAGU